UGGUCGUCUGUCAGCGAUUUUGCAAAAAAAAACCUUGACCUUUAUAAAAAUAAACCCGCAAUCCAGUAAAUAAGUGGGAAAAAACGUUUCGUAUUUCUGCCCACGGACGUGCUCGAUAAAAAAAGUCACCCCCCGAAUCGAGCGACCGCGUCUCCCACCCCAUCUGGAUCCGCCGCCGGCCCGCCUCCUCCGCCGCACCGUGCUGCCGGCCUCCCCGCACCCCGGCCUGCCUCCUCUCCGCCGCGCCCUCCUCUCCGCACCGUCCGAGUCCUCCCCGCGCGGUUCGUCAAGGCCCAGGCCGCCGCGCUCCGGACCUGCACCGGCCGGCUCAAGCACUCGCCGCCGACCUCGACGGGUUGCUCAACACGCUCCUCGCCUCCACGGGAAACGGCCGAGAGGAGGAGGAGGAUGCGCAGGAAGUAGGGCAGCGUCAGAAUCGCGCGCAUUGGAUCCGGCCGAUGGUUACGGCGACACGGACGCGGAGGCUCUGGCCGCGGCCGCCGCGCUCUAUGCCCCGCCCCUGCUCGCCGAGCCCUGCCUCUCCGGAUCUCCAGCCAUGUAUGCUGCCGAGGACCCUGCAGGUCCAAGCUCGUCAGCGAGGGGGAGCGCAGACAGCAGCCUAGCCCGUCAGUAACAUGGCACUCGUGGACACAGAGGAGGAAGCCUAAGAUCAAUCACAAGUUGUUAUGAUUGUUCUCAGCCAGCGAUGCAUAGGGGAAUUGUUUGCUCAUCUAUGUGUUAAUCUAGACCUCUUCAUCAACGACUUCAACAAGGACGAGAUCAAGCUGCGUCUACGCUGCUCUGUCCACCACAACAAUUUUGGAAUGCAUUAACUUUUAUCUGCCCAGGUUGAAUCCUUCAUUCCUCAUUCUCAUCCUUAUUUCUUGAUGUUGGGCAAGGCACUCUAGAUGAGUUGCUAACUUCAAAAGGCUUCAGUUCUAGCUAGAAGAAAUUUUCCCUAGGAAUAUUUUGUCAGUUUUGUGGUCAAUCAACUGGUGUUACAAUAAAAGCAAGAAAGUGAUGCAUGUUCUUUGGGAUAUAUGUACUGGAAAUAUAUGAACAUUGUUGGCCCAAAAUCACAGGGCCCCACUAAAUUAUUGGCCAUUUGGCCUCAUGAUUUUGAUGAUAA